rnacentral:rRNA from 1 species
GACGAACGCUGGCGGCGUGCUUAACACAUGCAAGUCGAACGGAAAGGCCCUGCUUUUGUGGGGUGCUCGAGUGGCGAACGGGUGAGUAACACGUGAGUAACCUGCCCUUGACUUUGGGAUAACUUCAGGAAACUGGGGCUAAUACCGGAUAGGAGCUCCUGCUGCAUGGUGGGGGUUGGAAAGUUUCGGCGGUUGGGGAUGGACUCGCGGCUUAUCAGCUUGUUGGUGGGGUAGUGGCUUACCAAGGCUUUGACGGGUAGCCGGCCUGAGAGGGUGACCGGCCACAUUGGGACUGAGAUACGGCCCAGAUUCCUACGGGAGGCAGCAGUGGGGAAUAUUGCACGAUUGGCGGAAGCCUGAUGCAGCAACGCCGCGUGCGGGAUGACGGCCUUCGGGUUGUAAACCGCUUUCGCCUGUGACGAAGCGUGAGUGACGGUAAUGGGUAAAGAAGCACCGGCUAACUACGUG